GGAACAGUUCCUGGCUUAACGUUGAGCACUUGAAAGGCCAAAUGUUUAGGGUUCCAUUGCGAUGUGUCGGUGUGGCACACUGCCACAGAUUUAACUCUGAUCCCGUUAGCACCCACCAAAGGCACAGAGUAAGUUCUAGUGCUCUCAGUUUUGUGGCAGUAAAAAACAGCAUAAGGGUAAUUCUGCUUGUGGCAUACAACAGCCGUGUCCCCUGAUAUCUUCUUCACUCCCGGUGCCACCGUGUAUUUCUGCAACCCCAUUUCUUUGUCAACUUCUGUGGACAAAACC
rnacentral:lncRNA from 1 species